CCCCAGGCGAGAAACCUAUGCAAUAGGCGAAAGCCAGACAGGGUUACUGUGAGUGAUUCCCGCUAAGGGGAUCUUUUGGCACCUAUAAAAAUGGUGCAGAAUAAGGGAUGGGCAAGCCUGGUCUCAGCCGCCGCGGUAAUACCAGCACCCCGAGUGGUCGGGACGAUUAUUGGUCCUAAAGCAUCGGUAGCCGGCCACGCAAUUCCUCCGUUAAAUCCACCCGCUAAACGGUUGGGUUUCGGAGGAUACUACGUGGCUAGGAGGCGGGAGAGGCAAGCGGUACUCAAUGGGUAGGGGUAAAAUCCUUUGAUCCAUUGAAGACCACCAGUGGCGAAGGCGUGCUUACCAGAACGCGCUCGACGGUGAGGGAAGAAAGCUGGGGGAGCAAACCGGAUUAGAUACCCGGGUAGUCCCAGCUGUAAACGAUGCAGACUCGGUGUUGGGAUGGCCUCGAGCCAUCCCAGUGCCGCAGGGAAGCCGUUAAGUCUGCCGCCUGGGGAGUACGGUCGCAAGACGGAAACUUAAAGGAAUUGGCGG
rnacentral:rRNA from 1 species